CUAAAGGCAUAACAAGACUGAGAAAAUGACUUGCCAUGUCUUCUGUAAAGCUGAGAUCUUGGUGGUAGGCAGAUGAUCAAGAAUCAACAGUGAAAAAAAAUCAGUGUUGACCGUUUCUGGAGGUGAACAUGGCAGAGAAUCAAGAAAAAAGCAGCAGGCCACAGACUUUGCCCAGUAUAAUGGCUGUGUUAGGAAAUAAUGCGACACAAGAAUGACCAACUAAUGAAGUGAGAUGUGAAGUCACUG
rnacentral:lncRNA from 1 species